rnacentral:rRNA from 1 species
UCAAAUACCGUCUUAGUCUCAACCAUAAACGAUGCCGACUAGGGAUUGGCGGAUGUCUAUUGGAUGACUCUGACAGCACCUUGUGAGAAAUCAAAGCUUCCAGGUUGCAGGGAAAGGAUUGUCGCAAGGCUGAAACUUAAAGGAAUUGAUGGAAGGACAACACUAGGCGUGGAGCCUGCCGCUAAAUUUGACUCAACAUGGGGAAACUCACCAGGUCCAGACAUAGCAAGGAUUGACAGAUUGAGAGCUCUUUCUUGAUUCUAUGGGUGGUGGUGCAUGGUCGUUCUUAGUUGGUGGAGUGAUUUGUCUGGUUAAUUUCGUUAACGAACGAGACCUCAACCUCGUAAAUAGCUACGUGGGGACCUUUCCUCGUGGCCAGCUUCUUAAAGGAACUAGUGGACGACUAGUCAACGGAAGUUUGAGGCAAUAACAGGUAUGUGAUGCCCUUAGAUGUUAUGGGCCUCGAUGUGAGAGGUUCGAGUGUGAGCAUGCCCGUUGGGACCCGAAAGAUGGUGAACUAUGCCUGAGCAGGGCGAGGCCAGAGGAAACUCUAGUGGAUGCUCGCUACAAUACUGACAUGCAAAUCGUUCGUCGGACUUGGGUAUAGGGGUCAAAGACUAAUCGAACCGUCUAGUAGCUGGUUCCCUCCGAAGUUUCCCUCAGGAUAGUUGAAGCUGUUGAACAUUUUUAUCGGGUAAAGCGAAUGAUUAGAGGCCUCGGGGGUGAAACACCCUCGACCUAUUCUCAAACUCUAAAUAGGUAAGAUUUCGGGGUUACUUAAAAAACCCCGAGGGUCAAUGAAGCUCCAAGUGGGCCAUUUUUUGUAAGCAAAACUGGCGAUGCGGGAUGAACCGAAAGUCGAGCUACGGUGCCAAAUUGCGAGCUAACCCAGACACCACAGAGGGUGUUGAUUGAUACAAACAACAGAACGGUGGUCAUGAAAGUCGAAAUCCGCUAAGGAGUGUGUAACAACUCACCUGCCGCAGCCCCGAAAAUGGAUUGCGCUGAAGCGCGCGACCUAUGCUCGGCCGUCGUGGUGAUUCUGACGUCGUGACGAGAAGGAGGGCGCGAGGCCUGCUGCGAAGCCUAGAGCAUGAGCCUAGGUGAAGCGGGUCCCAGUGCAAAUCUUGGUGGUAGUAGCAAAUAUUCAAAUAAGAACUUUGAAGACCGAAGUGAAGAAGGGUUCCAUGUGAACAGCGGUUGGACAUGGGUCAGUCGGCCCUAAGAGAUGUGGAAACCUUGUAUCAAGGGCGCACUGCACGCCGCACAUCGAAAGCGGGUCGGGUUAAUAUUCCUGAACUGGGUUGUGGAGGUGGACGGUAACGUAAGCAGCUCCGGAGAUGCCGGCGGGGGCCGUGGGAAGGGUUCUUUUUCCUUCUUGACGGCUUGCCCACCCUGGAAUCGGAUCAACCGAAGAUAGGGUGCAGCGCCCGACAAAGCACCACACGUUAUGUGGUGUCCAGCGUGCCCCCGAUGACCCUUGAAAAUCUGGAGUUGUGGGUACCUCUCACGCGCGACCGUACUCAUAACCGGAUCAGGUCUCCUAGGUGAGCAGCCUCUGGUCAAAGGAAGAAUGUAGAAGGUAAGGGAAGUCGGCAAUAUGGAUCCGUAACCUUGGGAAAAGGAUUGGCUCUGAGGGCUAUGCCUAGGGGUCUACGCCUCGAUGCCGUUGGCUGCCGGUGGUUUGCCCGAGCUGCUCUCGCCGCGAGGGCGGAGCCCGCGUGCCAGUGUGCCGACAGACAUAAAAUGUCUUAUGUCCCCACCUUUCAGAUGGGGCCGUGAGACUCUCCUUAAGCAUCAAACUGCCGACUCAGGACUGCUGCGGACAAGGGGAAUCCGACUGUUUAAAUAAAACAAAGCAUUGCGAUGGUCCCAACGGAUGUUGACGCAAUGUGAUUUCUGCCCAGUGCUCURAAUGUCAAAGUGAAGAGAUUCAACCAAGUGCGGGUAAACGGCGGGAGUAACUAUGACUCUCUUAAGGUAGCCAAAUGMCUCGUCAUCUAAUUAGUGACACGCAUGAAUGGAUUAACGAGAUUCUCAUUGUCCCUAUCUACCAUCCUACCAAACCACAACCAAGGGAACGGGCUUGGAAGAAUCGGCGGGGAAAGAAAACCCUGUUGAGCUUGACUCUAGUUCGACUCUGUGAAAUGACUUGAGAGGUGUAGAAUAAGUGGGAGCUUUACGGUGCAAGUGAAAUACCACUAUUUUUGAACUGGGUUGUGGAGGUGGACGGUAACGUAAGCAGCUCCGGAGAUGCCGGCGGGGGCCGUGGGAAGGGUUCUCUUUCCUUAUUGACGGCUCGCCUACCCUGGAAUCGGAUCAACCGAAGAUAGGGUGCAGCGCCCGACAAAGCACCACACGUUAUGUGGUGUCCAGCGUGCCCCCGACGACCCUUGAAAAUCUGGAGUUGUGGGUACCUCUCACGCGCGACCGUACUCAUAACCGCAUCAGGUCCCCUAGGUGAGCAGCCUCUGGUCAAAGGAAGAAUGUAGUAGGUAAGGAAAGUCGGCAAUAUGGAUCCGUAACUUUGGGAAAAUGAUUGGCUCUGAGGGCUAUGCCUAGGGGUCUACGCCGUCAGUAGGGAUGACCCCGGCUCGGUCAUAAACCCCGACACCUCUACAACCCUUAAAAAAAAAAAACAAAAAAAAACUAUGAGAGCAUGGCCUAUCG